rnacentral:rRNA from 1 species
ACGGAGGGUGCAAGCGUUAUUCGGAAUUACUGGGCGUAAAGGGUGUGAAGGCGGAUUAACAAGUCUGAUGUGAAAGCCCGGGGCUCAACCCCGGAAAGGCAAUGGAAACUGAUUGUCUUGAGUAGUGAGGAGGGAGGAAGAAUGCCCGGUGUAGCGGUGAAAGUCAGAGACAUAGGGCGGAACACCAGUCGCGAAGGACGCAUACCAUAGAGAAACUGACGCUGAGCCGCGAAACCGUGGGGAGCCAACAG